rnacentral:rRNA from 1 species
GGGCCCGCACAAGCGGCGGAGCAUGCGGAUUAAUUCGAUGCAACGCGAAGAACCUUACCAAGGCUUGACAUGCACCGGACAGCCCCAGAGAUGGGGGUCUUCUUCGGACUGGUGCACAGGUGGUGCAUGGUUGUCGUCAGCUCGUGUCGUGAGAUGUUGGGUUAAGUCCCGCAACGAGCGCAACCCUCGUUCCAUGUUGCCAGCGCGUUAUGGCGGGAACUCAUGGGAGACUGCCGGGGUCAACUCGGAGGAAGGUGGGG